GCGUGUUGGUGUCAGGAAGUGUGUUGUGACUCUGCACUGCUUCUGAAAUUAAUUUUUUUUUAUUAAUCCGUUGGUGAUUGAAUAUUUUAACUAGUUUCUAUGGAAGUAUUAUUUCCAGAAAAACUUUUCAUUGACUUAGUGAUUAGGACAUCUACUUGCACGCAAGUCAUACUUAUCAAGAGGAUGAUAAUGUGACAUUUCCCCAAAGUUCGAAGAAUUCAUUAACAACGCUGUAGUUGUACAUCGCCAGAAUCAAGUUUAUAUGAGAAAUUUCCGCCAGCGCGAGCGGACUACCUUACCAACAGUCACGUCAGCAUCAAAGCGGGCCUAACGCUCUCCAUCUACUCCGCAUAGGGAAGAGUUUGUGGCGGAUCGGCCAAUCUACUGCAUCUACAUUAUCUUUCUACGUGUAAGUUUUAGCUGUUCGCUUGAGAUACUCAUUAAAGCCAUGCUACACGGCGCGAGGAGCGGCUAUCGCGCUGCGUGUGUGCCUAUGCUUAAUUCGUUACUAGGAGCGAAGAUUAUCAAUCUACGUUCCGUGUAAAGUCGUUGUUACACGGUACUUGGAUUGCCAAUCCACGCCCGCGUAUCGGGUUCUACACGGCCUGUAGCGGGCAGGCGCGUUCUAGCGUGUUCUGGCUUUUUGUCACAGAGAAGGCGGGAGUAGAGUUUGCCAAUUUACGCUCCAAGUAACGGGGUUGACGCGGUCUGGAAAGUGAAGGAACUUCCUAACGCGUUCUUUCCCAAGCAUCGUCGGUAAAUGUCAUAAAUAUAUAUACAUUACCGGAAAUGUAUGAAAUCUAGGAAUUGUAUACAAUUCCGAGGCUAUUUAGGAAAUGUACUUAUAAAAUUUUAGUGUAUUUUGGUGUUAAAACUAAUGAAAUACCAAGAAAACAUUAACAUUAACAAAUAUCAAUUUAUAACAAUAACAACGAAAACACAAGU